UGUCCUCUCUCCUCUCAUUCCUCUGAUUUGCCCCUUUCAGCCCUUCCAUGUCCGGUAGCUGGCAACCGGACCAACACCAAGCAGGAGCCUCGAACCUGCCUGUCACCUUCCUCUGGGACUCCUGGCUGCAUCGGUCACAGACCCAGUGCCUGCACCCAGAAAACUUGCCAUCAACUUGCCUAUUUGUUUCAGGAGAGCAGUUCCAUCCUUAGAGAAGCAGUGUGGUCAAGUGUACAGAGCGCAGACCUAAGAGUCAUGAGGACCUGAGUUCUAAUCCGGACUGCACCUCUUGUCUGCUGAGAAUGGAUCACGUAAGGGAAGUUACAUCAUAACAGGAGAGAUCCUAACCUAUAAACCUAAUGAAAAAGAGGAAUGGAUGAUGAAAUAUUAAUUCCAAUGUCUUAAGGAUGAUCAGCAAUCAGAGAGGAAAGUUCCCACUUGGCAGAUGGAUAUUGUGCAACAGGGCUUAAAGGAUCUGUUCUCCAAUCAGCCUUAGAAAUGAAAAUAUUUCCAA